AGAUAAAUUGAAAGCUUGCUUUUAAUUUAUCUUAGCGGCGGACGGGUGAGUAACGUGUGGGCAACCUGCCUCAUACAGAGGGAUAAUCAUGUGAAAACGUGACUAAUACCGCAUGUCGUUUCGGGAGGGCAUCCUCCUGAAAGAAAAGGAGCAAUCCGGUAUGAGAUGGGCCCGCAUCUGAUUAGCUAGUUGGUGAGAUAACAGCCCACCAAGGCGACGAUCAGUAGCCGACCUGAGAGGGUGAUCGGCCACAUUGGGACUGAGACACGGCCCAAACUCCUACGGGAGGCAGCAGUGGGGAAUAUUGCACAAUGGGGGAAACCCUGAUGCAGCAACGCCGCGUGAAGGAAGACGGUUUUCGGAUUGUAAACUUCUAUCAAUAGGGACGAAGAAAGUGACUGUACCUAAAUAAGAAGCCCCGGCUAACUACGUGCCAGCAGCCGCGGUAAUACGUAGGGGGCAAGCGUUAUCCGGAAUUACUGGGUGUAAAGGGUGAGUAGGCGGCAUGGCAAGUAAGAUGUGAAAGCCCGAGGCUUAACCUCGGGAUUGCAUUUUAAACUGCUAAGCUAGAGUACAGGAGAGGAAAGCGGAAUUCCUAGUGUAGCGGUGAAAUGCGUAGAUAUUAGGAAGAACACCAGUGGCGAAGGCGGCUUUCUGGACUGGAAACUGACGCUGAGGCACGAAAGCGUGGGGAGCGAACAGGAUUAGAUACCCUGGUAGUCCACGCC
rnacentral:rRNA from 1 species